CAGUCGCCGCGGUAAUACGGAGGGUGCAAGCGUUAAUCAGAAUUACUGGGCGUAAAGCGCACGCAGGCGGUUUGUUAAGUCAGAUGUGAAAUCCCCGAGCUUAACUUGGGAACUGCAUUUGAAACUGGCAAGCUAGAGUCUUGUAGAGGGGGGUAGAAUUCCAGGUGUAGCGGUGAAAUGCGUAGAGAUCUGGAGGAAUACCGGUGGCGAAGGCGGCCCCCUGGACAAAGACUGACGCUCAGGUGCGAAAGCGUGGGGAGCAGACAGGAUUAGAUACCCGCGUAGUCCCUGUCUCUUAUAC
rnacentral:rRNA from 1 species